rnacentral:rRNA from 1 species
AUUGAACGCUGGCGGCAGGCCUAACACAUGCAAGUCGAACGAGUGGCGGACGGGUGAGUAAUGUCUGGGAAACUGCCUGAUGGAGGGGGAUCACUACUGGAAACGGUAGCUAAUACCGCAUACCAUCAGAUGUGCCCAGAUGGGAUUAGCUAGUUGGUGGGGUAACGGCUCACCAAGGGGACGAUCCCUAGCUGGUCUGAGGGGAUGACCGGCCAAACUGGAACUGAGACAGGGCCCAGACUCCUCCGGGAGGCAGCAGUGGGGAAUAUUGCACAAUGGGCGCAAGCCGGAUGCAGCAAUGCCGCGUGUAUGAAGAAGGCCUUCGGGUUGUAAAGUAUUUUCAGCGGGGAGGCGUUACCCGCAUAAGAAGCAACGGCUAACUCCGUGCCAGCAGCCGCGGUAAUUC